rnacentral:lncRNA from 10 species
ACUAUUGUCUGUAAAAGGUACAACUACCUUGCUGAUGCUGUACAUAUGGCUCACUUGUGCCCAGAGAGAGAAUAAAGCCAUGUCGAAACUAUCUACGAUUCCUUGAGUGUUUUUCCAGCUACCUGCCACUUGCCCACCCACUCCCCUCAGAUCUCAGUUAGAACAUGACAAUUGGGCUCAUGAACAGGAUCCUGAGUGGUUGCAGGUGAACAAGCAGUUGGCACAAGGGCAAAGUGAUCACAUCCUGAUUGAGUGGCUAUGGACAGCCAUACAGACUGUGUGGAACAACGCUGGUGAAAUACCCAAACCAUUUAGAAGCAGUAAUGCCUCUCUUGCCUGGGACUGGGAUGGUGUGGCUGAGACUGCCUUACUGGCAGCCAGGUGCGCUAUUCAGCAGCCACAAGCCCUACAAGUAAUUAACCAGGGGCACCUGUUUGAGCUGGAGGUGCAUGUGGCCACAGACGGUUUUGGUUGAGGCUUGUGGCAAUGCACAGAGCGCCUAAGAAUGCCAGUAGGCUUUUGGUCCCAACUAUGGAAAGGAGCUGAACUCCGGUAUUCAUUGAUAGAGAAACAGCUAGCAGCUGUAUAUGCUGGCCUUCGGGCUCAUGAGAGCAUGACAGGACAGGCUGCAGUCAUCAUAUGGACAACUUACCCAAUAACAGGAUGGAUGCGUCUAUGUGUAAUGACCACCUGGAGUGGGAUAGCACAGAUGUCCACUUUGGCAAAAUGGGGCAACUCCUUGCAGCAGUGGAGUAAGCUGAGUACAAGUCCCAUAGCAGCAGAGUUGCAAGAGGUCUUGGGACGUGUAGUCCUAAUGCAAGAUAAGGCCAUGCGGCCUGAGGCACCCCUAGAUCCUGAGUCUUCACCAUUUAAGGAAGGGCAUCCCAGGAUUCCUGAGGGGGCAUGGUACACAGUAGAUGAGGUGCUACUGCUGCCUGGACCACUGUUGCAGUCCAACCUAGUACUGACACCAUAUGGUUUGAAACUGGGUGCGGACAAAGUAGCCAAUGGGCUGAACUCAGAGCAGUGUGGAUGGUGAUCACCAAGGAGGUGACACCUGUGGUAAUCUGUACUGAUAGCUGGGCAGUCUACUGAGGCUUAACCUUGUGGUUAACUACUUGGAAAAUACAGAAUUGGCUAGUGAGCCACAGACCCAUUUGAGGCCAAGCCAUAUGGCAAGACCUUUGGGAAAUAGGUCAUCAAAAAGAGGUAACUAUUUAUCAUGUGUCAGGCCAUAUGCCUUUGGCCACCCCUAGUAAUGAUGAGGCAGAUGCCUUGGCUAAGGUCAGAUGGUCAGAGUCAGCACCAACACAAGAUGUGACCUUGUGGCUACACCGGAAACUGGGACAUGCAGGGGGUAAACUGAUGCAACAAUUCAAUAAGUGUUGGGGUCUGUCCCUUCCCAAGCAAGACAUUUGUGAGGCUUGUCAGAAAUGCCUGGCAUGUGUUCAGACAUAUCCUAAAAAGAGGCAGCUGCCCGGUGUUAUACAACAAGUAACAAUAGGGUGAGUGCCCUUGACCAGGUGGGAAGUAGACUACAUCGGGCCGCUGCCAAAGUCGCGAGGGUAUACGCAUGCACUAACGGCUGUAGACAUGGCCACAGGCCUGUUGUUCACCUACCCUUGCAGGGUGGCCAACCAACAGAACACCAUCCAGGCCCUGCAACACUUAUGUUCCCUGUAUGGUUGUCCUCUGGCCAUUGAGAGUGAUAGGGGAACACAUUUCACUGGACAACAGGUACAAUGAUGGGCACAGCAAAUGGACAUAAAGUGGGGAUUCCAUGUGCCAUACAGCCCACAAGCUGAGGUAUUAUUGAAUGAUAUAAUGGGAUCUUGAAGAAUGGAUUACGCUUGCAUGUCAAACCCCUGUCUUUGCGGAGCUGGAGUUCCAGGCUGGACCUGGUGCUCCAAACCUUAAAUGAAUGGCCACAGAAAGGUGGCCCGGCCCCAGUGGAGGCUUUGUUUCACUAGGCCACCACCCCCAUUCAAUUGGAGAUACAUACCAAGGAUGACCUCCUCCGAUCAGGUAUGGGGACAAAUGGUAACCUGUUGUUGCCUGCCCCAACAACCCUGAAGGCAGGGGAACAGAAAACCUGGCUGUGGCCAUGGACCCUCCAAGCUCUCCACUGCUGGUGGUUGGCCAUCAUAGCUCCCUGUGGGGAGGGCCUACAGUAUGACUUGCAUGUCACUUUUUGAGUGUUCAAUACAUGGCUUCCAAGGUUGACUGUUUGUAGAGGAACAGCCAGGGAAGGAGCCCUCCUCUGAGGGACAUAUGUACUAUCUGAUGGGCCUAUUAUGAGCUACGCUGUGACUUUGGCAUGGAUACAGGAUUCAAAGGAACCAUGGAGAUUUGAGAAGGUGUGGUACCAUCACCCAGGGCAAAAGCCCUUGGUGGCUGCAUUGUUAUCCAGGGAUGGAAAGUUAGCCUAUAUUUUGCCUGAGGGAUGUGAUUUACCUCUGUUAGUACCUGUGCCUGCUCUGUCAUUUCAACCGUAGGUUAACAUGCUCCAAUUGCAUUGUGGACUGACCCCACACCUAUGCUGAGGUGACCAAUGUUUCCAACUGUUGGACCUGCACUGCCUUUCCAGCAGCAGCUGCAGACAGCUUUCCCUGACACAUACAUCCCGUGUCUGCAGAGAACUGGACAUGCCUGGAGACUUGAGAUCCCAUGGCUGAUGCCUGGAACACAAUGUGGCAAGCUUUGGACAAAGGACACAGCAAGACCCAUGGCUGGACCGUAGCAUUCGUGAUGAGUGGGGCUGGCUAGUAGGGGAACAUGUAGUAGCCCAAGCCCAGGCAUUGCAGUGCACAGAGCAACAUUGGGGUAACAGGAUGGGUACCUGUCACGGCCUGUGCAAACAUAACAUGUGUCACCACACUGAAGGUAUGGUGGAACAAGUGGCCUCACCAAGGUCGGACCCCAAUGGACUUUUUGCCUCUUGGGAGCUUAUGGGUCUAUGAGGACACAGUAGCCUUUCCUAUCAGCAAACUGGAGUGGAUGUUGUAUCUGGGGGUGGCCUUAUGUACCUGCUACUGUUCUCCCCACAUUGCCCAGAUGCCUGUAUAACUGGGAGGCACUGUGCUCUCAGUUUUUGCGAAUGUGAUGAGCCCCCUGGUGUUUCUACCCUUUGGCAAUGACUAUCCCUGGAGCAGGUGUCAAAACUGUAGAAGCACAAUUUACUGCUCUUGCGGAGCACACCGCUCAGGCUCUGAAUUACACCUGAGUGUCCCUCCUCCUGUUAAUGAAUGAGGUUGAUCAGAUCAAAAAGUGGUGUUGCAAAACCAAGUGGCCUUAGACAUAACUGCUGCCCAAGGAGCCACCUGUGCCCUUUUAGGAACACAAUGUUGUACCUUAUCCCUGACAAUCAGCAGAACAUAACAGCAGCCCUGCAAAGGGGUCUUCCAGGAGAUUAAGGUGACUGAGAGCCUCACUGUCAACCCCCUGCAGAGAUGGUGAGCAUCCCUAGGUUCUGGCGUACAUUGGGCCCUAAUAGUCAUAAGUAUCAUAGCUGAGAUCCUAGUAGUGAGCUGUUGCUCUCUGUAUUGUUGUUGUGGGUUAUGGACUCAGGGCUCCGCCAUAUAGGCAUGUGUCCCUGCCUGGAGGACGCCCUCAGCCUAGGGGGUGUAGUGUAAGGGAAAUGGCUGUGCUUUAGUCAGGAGUAGGCUGAGGCAGCCUUCUGGUGCAGCAUGACUCAGUGGGUUUGGAGUGCAAGCACACAACCUUGCUCGUUAUGUAACCACACCACAUGAGGCACAUUAGGUAACAACUCACAUGAGCUCGUGUUUGGCUCAGAGCCACUAUUGUCUGUAAAAGGUAUACCUUGCUGAUGCUGCACAUAUGGCUCGCUUGUGCCCAGAGAGAGAGUAAAGCCAUGUUGAAACUGUC